AUUAAUUGUACUUGGUUAGUUUCUCUGUAGGCUACAUAAUACAUAUUCAUUUCAUAUUGUACACAUAACCAAAUAAAUUACACGGUCGCACCCCGAAGACCAAGAAUGUAUGGAUAAGCUAAGUGACGGCCGUGGAAACCUAUCAAUGAAAAUAGUAUUGAUUGUUCUUCCUUUUGGUGAAAAAUGAGAGAAAAAGUCAUAGCUGAAAUUUAAGUUUGAAUGUGUAAACAGCUUUGAAUAACGGAGUUGAACUAAACAAUGGCAUUGACGUCAAGUGACCAGCAACGAGACAGCACAGACCCAGAGAGUGGCCAUAACUAUAUUACCGUAAUUCCGGUUGAAUUCCAGAGAAGCAGGGGCUACCCACAACCACCUGACCAAUACAGUGACUACAAGUCAAUAGAUGGAGAAUUCAACAGACCAGACAUAGUGAAGUCUGGCUCAGGAGUUGAAAACAGCAAAACUAUCUCUCCUGAGGCUUAUAAACAAUCUCUUGAUAACUGUGGUAAAUUUGGUAAAGAACAUGAAGAUAACGCUAUCAAUGCACAAUGGGAGAAGGAGAAAAAUCAGGAAGCUCAAAAUGAUUCAUCAAUCCAACCUUUGAAAGUGUGUGUAUACUUGAUGUCUGAUGUGGCAUUGCACAUGGAGUUGGAGGAUGGAGUCAACACCACAGUAAAGGAGUUGACACAAGCUAUUGUCACUGAGGAACAGCUUGGUUUGCCUCGCUCUGCAGCAAAUAUCUUUACUCUCUGGAUGUGCUCUGGAUUGCUGGAACUUCGUCUCAAACCACAUCAUCAACCAUUCGCUGUUAGAGCUAAGUGGCCUGAUCUCCUAGUCAAGUACGCACAUGCAACAGAGUCUCGCCAACGGAGGGAUGAGCCAGUUCUUUCAUUUCAACGCAAUGUAUUUGUAUCAAGAUCUGUUGAUGAAAGGGUCAAGGAUCCCAAGAUCAUGGAUCUGCUCUACUGUGAAGCCAGAUACAAUAUAUUGGAAGGUAGAUAUCCCUGUGAAGUAGGCCACUACAUCAUGCUGGGGGGUAUACAGGCUAGACUAGAGCUUGGACCUUACAAUCCCCACAUCCACACCAUCCAUUUCUUCAGAGAACAGUACAGCAGAUUUCUGCCGCCACAAAUGAGACGAGGGGCAUGGCGGUCCUGGCUGGGAUUGGGGGGCAAAAACUGUCCAGAGAUCAAGCUUUUGGAACACUACAAGCGCAUACCCCCCUCCACCCCUGACCGCAAAUUGCAACGCAAGUACCUAGAGUUUUGCUGGGCCUUGCCUUACUACGGUUGUGCAUUUUUCCAAGGUCAAGUAGAACAGCCUGUAAGAGGUCUCACAUCUUUGAUCACCCAUCAAGAUAUUCCAGUUUUAGUUGGCAUUAACCCCCAAGGAAUCUACGUGAUUGACAACACACAAUGUAUAUUGCUACUAGGACUUAAGUUUGAAGAAAUGUCAUGGGAUUUUGCCAAACCAUCUCAAGAGGACAAUCCAGAUUGUUUGCCCUGUAUUUUUAUCCAGUUUAGAGUUGUUGAAAAUGGCAUGAGAGUGUCAAAGAUUCUUCAAAUUUUUUCCAAACAAGCUGUGAUGAUGGACGCUUUGAUCUCAGGAUUUGUUGAGGACAUCAAAAAGAAAACUUCAGUGACAACCAAACAGCCUGCAACUGAUGAGACUGACAGACCACCAGUAUAUGAUACUGCCACUGAUAGUGAUGAUACUCAGAUGCCUCUGAACAAUGUAGCUGGAGCUCACAGAGAACUUCCUCAAUCCUGUCUUGGUAACAAACUAAGUAAACUUACUCUCGCUACAUUCGAUGAUGAAGGUACAAUUUAAUCAAGUUCAAGUGUUGCUUGCUGUUUCGUGUUGGUUUGAUUACGUUUAGAAACAUUUGAUCCAAGUGACUUUUGCCAUUGUAUAAAAAGGUCGUUGUAUUGGACAGAUGGGUUCAUGGUCAUUUAGCUACUAGUGAACACUUAUAUUAAGAUCUGUUAUAUACUCAAUGUUUAGAUCUGUUAGAUAUUUGUAUUUUAAUGUUUAAUUUAGUAGUUAAUGGUUUUAAAAAUAAAUUCUUCCUUUACUUACUGACUUUUUAAUACUACUGUGAUAUUUGUUGUUAGAGUUAUUUUAGUUUAUUUUUAACUUUAAUGUAUUUUUGUUUUGUACCUGAAUACAAAGUUAUUGGAAAUAAAUAAAGAUGUAUACGUAUA